GCCAAUAUUACAAGUCUCGCACUUUAACCGAUUGCCCAGUGCGGGCUGGCUUGAUCUUACAUUAUUGUUUGUGUACUUUUGGCGGAGAAAUACUUUCAGGAAUCAUUAGAGCGUAUUUAUGACAAUGUCCAUUACACGUCAAUGUUAUAUCUACAGAAACAUUAGUGUCGUCAACAACAACAUUAGCCGAAUCUGUAACCCAACAACAAACAUGUGCACGAUGUGAAGAUAAAGUUAAUAAUUUUACCAUUGGUUAUUUCUCUGGAUUCGGAUCUUGUGUUGCCAUAGAAGUAUUUGCUGUAUUGUUGUACCUUAUAAGACGAAGGUAUCUUGCAAGAAAGACGCCCAAAGAUAACAAACCCAACGUUGAAAUUCCAACAUAUUAUAACACUAGAACUGAUUUCAGAGCUGUAAAUACUACUGAGUCAGCUGUUGUGACCAAUAAUUAUGAGAGUUUGAGUAAUAACAGAACCACGGAUAAUGUAUACAAUGAUCUAGGAACAACUUUGUCAUAGACGUACGACAAAUGAGUUUUUGUGACUAGCUAGUGAAAACAACAGAAUGAAUUGUUUCUGUCAGUCUGGAUAUGUGGUUUUUGGGUCGUUACCAUCCUAAAGGCUUAUACACUGUAUACUCACUUCGGAAAGGCUAAUAUUCAGAAUAACUAGUUGUAUUAGGGAACGAAAAUCUAUUUCCUUCCAGCAAUUUUUUAACAUUUAAAAUACGACUUAUGUGUUUUUUCAAAAUUAGCGUACCUUGUUCUUCUUUAUAAACGUUUUUUUUUCUCGAAUAUUUUGGUCAUGUAUUUGCAAUAUGAAAUUUAUACCUAUAUCUAUUUACAGCACAUUUUAUAUUAUUUGUUUCAAAAUGUGUACUUUUAACAUGUAUAACAUUGUUCUUGAAAACUAUAUAAUUUAUACUAAAAGUGUUUGUUGAUAAAGUAUUUGAUCGUAAAUACUUCUGCAUGAUAGUUCCCAAUCAAUUUAUUCUGUUUACCUACAAAUUAGACUGAUAAAAUCUGGACAGGGCUUAUACAUUAAAUGUAUCUAGAAAAUAUUUUAAUCCAAAUUAUUGAGAAAUUUAUAAUGCUAGCAUUCGGCUGAACGUUAAUUUUGACAUUUGGUCGUUGUGAUAUAUUUACUGUAAGAAAAUAAAUGUUAAAACAGCUUUAAGAGUAUAUUUCUAAACAUAACACUUAAAUGUAUUUUGAUAAAAGUUUGUGUAAUUGGUGUUAAAAAUAUUUUAUUGGCUUUCAAUCUUGAUCACAUGUUCGACAUCUUUUAGUUAUGAUCAUAUUACUUUUUAUAAAAUAGUGAUCGUUCAUUGUGCUAUAUAGAUUGUUAACAUUGCUUCAAUAACUGUACUUCAUGUAAACAAAAAUUAUAUGUUAUUCAUGUAAGUUAAACUUUUACCAGUGAUGAUAAUUGUCUUAAUAGUAAAUAUGUAGUAGA